AGUGAACGCUGGCGGUAGGCCUAACACAUGCAAGUCGAACGGCAGCACAGUAAGAGCUUGCUCUUACGGGUGGCGAGUGGCGGACGGGUGAGGAAUACAUCGGAAUCUACUUUUUCGUGGGGGAUAACGUAGGGAAACUUACGCUAAUACCGCAUACGACCUACGGGUGAAAGCAGGGGAUCUUCGGACCUUGCGCGAUUGAAUGAGCCGAUGUCGGAUUAGCUAGUUGGCGGGGUAAAGGCCCACCAAGGCGACGAUCCGCAGCUGGUCUGAGAGGAUGAUAGGCCACAUUGGAACUGAGACACGGUCCAGACUCCUACGGGAGGCAGCAGUGGGGAAUAUUGGACAAUGGGCGCAAGCCUGAUCCAGCCAUCCCGCGUGGGUGAAGAAGGCCUUCGGGUUGUGAAGCCCUUUUGUUGGGAAAGAAAAGCAGCAGGUUAAUACCCCGCUGUUCUGACGGUACCCAAAGAAUAAGCACCGGCUAACUUCGUG
rnacentral:rRNA from 1 species